GAUGAACGCUGGCGGCGUGCCUAAUACAUGCAAGUCGAGCGAACAGACGAGGAGCUUGCUCCUCUGACGUUAGCGGCGGACGGGUGAGUAACACGUGGAUAACCUACCUAUAAGACUGGGAUAACUUCGGGAAACCGGAGCUACUACCGGAUAAUAUAUUGAACCGCAUGGUUCAAUAGUGAAAGACGGUUUUGCUGUCACUUAUAGAUGGAUCCGCGCCGGAUUAGCUAGUUGGUAAGGUAACGGCUUACCAAGGCAACGAUGCGUAGCCGACCUGAGAGGAUGAUCGGCCACACUGGAACUGAGACACGGUCCAGACUCCUACGGGAGGCAGCAGUAGGGAAUCUUCGGCAAUGGGCGAAAGCCUGACGCAGCAACGCCGCGUGAGUGAUGAAGGUCUUCGGGUCGUAAAGCUCUGUUAUUAGGGAAGAACAAAUGUGUAAGUAACUAUGCACGUCUUGACGGUACCUAAUCAGAAAGCCACGGCUAACUACGUG
rnacentral:rRNA from 1 species